AUGAGGAACACAAAAGGAAAGAGGAGAGGCAUCCGGCAUAUGUUCUCUAGGCCUUCUAGGAACCAUGGAGUUGUUCCUUUAGUCACAUACAUGUGAAUCUAAAGGGUGAUACAAUAGACAUCAAGGGAAUAGACACUGUUUAAGAAGGAAUGCCCCAUAUGUCUUUUACCAUGGCAAAGCCAGAGGAGUCUACAAUUGUAAACAAGCAGGUUAAGGGCAAGAUUCUGGGCAAGAGGAUCAAUGUGAGCAUUGAGCACAUCGAGCACUGGAAAAGCAGAGGCAGCUGCCUAAAGCAGGUGAAGGAGAAGGAUUAGAAGAUAAAAGAAGCCAAAGAGAAGGGCACCCAGGUUCAGCUGAAGUGCCAGCCUGUGCCACCCAGAGAAGCACACUUGUGAGGACUAACGGAAAAGAGCUGAGUUGUUGGAGCCCAUUCCAUACAAGUUCAUG
rnacentral:lncRNA from 1 species